rnacentral:rRNA from 1 species
CGGAACGAGUUAACUGAACCUUCGGGGAACGUUAACGGCGUCGAGCGGCGGACGGGUGAGUAAUGCCUGGGAAAUUGCCCUGAUGUGGGGGAUAACCAUUGGAAACGAUGGCUAAUACCGCAUAAUAGCUUCGGCUCAAAGAGGGGGACCUUCGGGCCUCUCGCGUCAGGAUAUGCCCAGGUGGGAUUAGCUAGUUGGUGAGGUAAUGGCUCACCAAGGCGACGAUCCCUAGCUGGUCUGAGAGGAUGAUCAGCCACACUGGAACUGAGACACGGUCCAGACUCCUACGGGAGGCAGCAGUGGGGAAUAUUGCACAAUGGGCGCAAGCCUGAUGCAGCCAUGCCGCGUGUGUGAAGAAGGCCUUCGGGUUGUAAAGCACUUUCAGCAGUGAGGAAGGCGGUGUCGUUAAUAGCGGCAUCGUUUGACGUUAGCUGCAGAAGAAGCACCGGCUAACUCCGUGCCAGCAGCCGCGGUAAUACGGAGGGUGCGAGCGUUAAUCGGAAUUACUGGGCGUAAAGCGCAUGCAGGUGGUUAGUUAAGUCAGAUGUGAAAGCCCGGGGCUCAACCUCGGAACUGCAUUUGAAACUGGCUGACUAGAGUACUGUAGAGGGGGGUAGAAUUUCAGGUGUAGCGGUGAAAUGCGUAGAGAUCUGAAGGAAUACCGGUGGCGA